rnacentral:rRNA from 1 species
UACGUAGGGGGCAAGCGUUGUCCGGAUUUAUUGGGCGUAAAGAGCGUGUAGGCGGCUAGGUAGGUCCGUUGUGAAAACUCGAGGCUCAACCUCGAGCUGUCGAUGGAAACCAUCUAGCUAGAGUCCGGAAGAGGAGAGUGGAAUUCCUGGUGUAGCGGUGAAAUGCGCAGAUAUCAGGAAGAACACCUAUGGCGAAGGCAGCUCUCUGGGACGGUACUGACGCUGAGACGCGAAAAGCGUGGGGGAGCGAACAGG